CUCUGAGCCAUCAGCCCAGAGCCUGACGCGGGGCUCGAACUCACGGACCGCGAGAUCGUGACCUGGCUGAAGUCGGACGCUUAACUGACUGCGCCACCCAGGCGCCCCAUCUCCUCACUAGUUUUAAUAAGUGGCAAAAUGAAUAUUUUUAUUUCUUACGGACAGUUUUUCUUCAUAUUAAAAAUACAACUGAAAUGCAAGUUAACCCUAAGGUACCUUUCUUAUCUAUCAUGUUAAUAAGAUUUAAAAUAUUUCCAAUAUGCUUUUUUAAUAGGUAGUGGAAAACAGACAUCCUCAAAAGUUGUUACAAGAGACUACAUUCAGUUGUACCAUAAUUUGACAUAUGUGUUCCUAAAAAUCACUAUGCUAAUAGGCAAAAUCGUGCAAUAAAAAAAACACAGGGCAGGGUGCCUGGGCAUUGGGCGUUGGAAGAGUAGCACCUUGGGAGUUACUGUGAAGUGGCAGAAGGAAGGUUAUCUGAAAUGGGAUGGAAACUUGGCAGUAUCAGAUGUGAAUGAGUGUGACUCGUGACAUAAGCAGAAAACUGAGGUCCCUGGUUUAGUUUGAGGUGUAUGCAACUUGUGUAUUCCUACCUUGCUUGGUUCUGGGUGCAUUUUUCUGUAUUUAUCAAGAGCUUCUUAGGGAUCGGGUCAGUCCAUAAGCAAACACAAAGUUUGUGUCGUGCUCACAUUGUAUCCCAGCAUAUCAGUUAUGUUGCAAAAAAUUCACAUUUCAAAGUGAGUGUUAUAGCAGAACAGAAAUUUCUGUUAUAGCAGAAAUUGGUGUAACUUUUAUGGAUAGUAAUUUGAGGAUAUGUAUCAAAUUACAAAUGUACAUACCCAUUUACCCAUAAAUUCUAAUUAUCCUAGAGAUAAGUACUUAUGCAAAAUGAUGUAUUUACAAGGAUAUUCACUGCAGCAAUUGCUUGUAAUAAAAGAUUAUAAACAUCUUAAAUGUCUAUUAGCAGAUCAGUGGGUAAAUAAGUUAUGGUUCAUGCAUUCUGAGGAAUACUGCGCUGCUGUGUUAAGGACAACUGCUUCCAUAAACUGAUGUGUAAUGUUCUUUAAGAUAUGUUUAAAAACAAGAGUUGAGAAUAGUAUGUAUAAUGUGCUGUCACUUGCACAAAAAGUAAUAAUUUUUGUGUGUUUAUAUGAACGGAAUAAAACUGAGGCACAUGCUAAUAUCUUGAUAAUACCAGACUUGGAAUUCCUUAAGGACAAGAACUUUGUUUUAUUCAUGUUUCUCUCCUCAACAGGGUGCAUAGUACCUAGCUCUUACCAGGCACACAAAUAAGGAUAUGUUGAAUAAGAUAAAUGGACAUUUCUCCUAACAUUCAUAUCUGUAAGAAAAUUUGAUACACAGGAUAUGAAAUGAAAAACAGACUGGGGAGGAUUGAGUUACUAAGAUUUAGUGCCCUUUUAAAAAGAGGAAGAGACAUCAGAGAACUCUUUCCACCAGCAAAAAAUGGCCAUCUUUAAGUCAGGAAAAGAGCUCUCACCAGGAACCAAGUCAGCGGCACCUUGAACUUGGACUUCCCAGCCCCCAGAAUCAUAAGAAAUAAAUGUAUAUUGUUAAAGCCAUUGAGUCUGUGUUUCUGUUAUAGCAGCUCCAGCAGACUAAUACACUGUGCUUCAUUGCUUUCCUCCAUCUUGAAAUUCUACCCAUUUCCGAAGCCCAGGUCAGAUCCCAUCUCGUGUACAAAACAAUCCUAGGUCUCAUUUGUCCCCCUUUCUUCCAAAAUGUAUAGCUUUUACCACCUGAACCACACAGUUGAAUACUUGUUAUAAGGUUACAUGCUAUCUUAUAUUCUUCUUUAAUUUUUCCAUGUAGCCUGAUUAAAAUGAGAUAGCUCUCUGUAUAUUAGAGGCUAAAAUAAAACGGAGAGGCACCCAGUUCAUCUAGGGCAGGGCACUUAGGGAUAGUGGCUAGAAGAUUUAUCCAGAUCAGGAAGCUGAAGCUCCAAAAGGUGAAGAAACAUUUUCAUAUGACACAUACAAAUGGGUAAAGACCAGGUUUAAAUGUAUUGGUCUUAUAAGUAGAAUUGAGUUUCACUUAUAACAUAUAUACUGCUUCUUGGUUUCAUGCCCCAGAAGAAAAGUAGUUCAGUAAAAAUGAAAAAAAAAAAGGAAAGAAAAAUCAAUGUACAGUUUUAUUUUCAAAUGCAGGGGAAAUAAA